UUGUUUAUAAUACUCAGCAGACACAUUCUCAGAAAGGAUCAAAGGUGGUUGCUCCUGCAACGGUUCCAUCCUAUCAUAGGGUAACAACAAGGUUCCAACUCUAUCCUUGACCCCCUAAAUGUAGGCAGGCAUAACAAUGGCAAACUUCUUCCCUAAAACAGAUCCAUCCUUGACACCAAUAUGCUCCCAAGCUCUUCCCACUUGCUCCACUCUAGCUGGGUCACUCCGCUUCUCAAAG
rnacentral:lncRNA from 1 species